GCCCAGACUCCUACGGGAGGCAGCAGUGGGGAAUAUUGCACAAUGGGGGAAACCCUGAUGCAGCGACGCCGCGUGAGCGAUGAAGUAUUUCGGUAUGUAAAGCUCUAUCAGCAGGGAAGAAGAUGACGGUACCUGACUAAGAAGCCCCGGCUAACUACGUGCCAGCAGCCGCGGUAAUACGUAGGGGGCAAGCGUUAUCCGGAUUUACUGGGUGUAAAGGGAGCGUAGACGGCGGCGCGAGCCAGAUGUGAAAGCCCGGGGCUCAACUCCGGGACUGCAUUUGGAACUGUGUGGCUGGAGUGUCGGAGAGGCAGGCGGAAUUCCUAGUGUAGCGGUGAAAUGCGUAGAUAUUAGGAGGAACACCAGUGGCGAAGGCGGCCUGCUGGACGAUGACUGACGUUGAGGCUCGAAAGCGUGGGGAGCAAACAGGAUUAGAUACCCCAGUA
rnacentral:rRNA from 1 species